AGUGAACGCUGGCGGUAGGCCUAACACAUGCAAGUCGAACGGCAGCACAGGAGAGCUUGCUCUCUGGGUGGCGAGUGGCGGACGGGUGAGGAAUACAUCGGAAUCUGCCCAGUCGUGGGGGAUAACGUAGGGAAACUUACGCUAAUACCGCAUACGACCUUCGGGUGAAAGAGGGGGAUCGCAAGACCUCUCGCGAUUGGAUGAGCCGAUGUCGGAUUAGCUAGUUGGCGGGGUAAUGGCCCACCAAGGCGACGAUCCGUAGCUGGUCUGAGAGGAUGAUCAGCCACACUGGAACUGAGACACGGUCCAGACUCCUACGGGAGGCAGCAGUGGGGAAUAUUGGACAAUGGGCGCAAGCCUGAUCCAGCCAUACCGCGUGGGUGAAGAAGGCCUUCGGGUUGUAAAGCCCUUUUGUUGGGAAAGAAAUCUGUCAGGCUAAUAUCCUGGGAGGAUGACGGUACCCAAAGAAUAAGCACCGGCUAACUUCGUG
rnacentral:rRNA from 1 species